rnacentral:lncRNA from 1 species
AUGUCACUCGAGCACACUCCUGCACUCCAUGCAUUUGACUCAGAAACGGAUCCAAGCUCGGUGGGACCGCGUUGGACCAAAUGGGUGCAGAGGUUUGAAAACUACACUACUGCGGUCAACAUCACCGGCGAUGCUAGGCUAAAGGCACUGCUGCUGCACCUAGCAGGAGAGCGCGUGCAUGAUAUCUAUGACACGCUCGCAGAUGAGGGAGACAAAUAUGCGGACGUAAAGGCAAGGCUCAAAACGUACUUCACCCCCAAGAAGAACACUCAGUAUCAAGUUUAUAUGUUCAGAAAGGCAGUGCAACUGCCAGUCGAAAAUCUAGACACAUACUGCACUAGACUACGCAUGCUUGCAAAGAACUGUGAGUUUGCAGACACUGACAAAGAGAUCAAAGCACAGCUGAUUCAAAGCUGCACUUCAACCAGGCUGCGUCAACGCGAGCUGAGAGAGCCUGAGAAGGGCUUAGAUGACCUUCUCGACCAUGGUAUGUCACUAGAACUGUCCGAGCAGAAAGCAGCGGGCAUGGAACAGACAGAUACUGCAUCAGUGAAUGUGAUCCAGCAGAAGUGGCGGCCCAGCCAAUACACUGGGAGAGGCAAGCCCAGCAAUAACUGCAGGAACUGUGGAGGACAAUAUCCACAUGAAGGAGAAUGCCCAGCACGGGGCAAGGACUGCAAAGCAUGCGGUAGGAUGAAUCACUUUGCUCGACAAUGCAGAUAUAGGCAACAAGAACCAACCAGAGGGCGUGAACCAAAAGACGAAGAGAGAGAGAAAGGUAAACAACACAGACACAAAGUGUACAAUGUGACCAGCACCGAGCAAAAUGGUGGCUACAACUCGUCUAGCAGCGACGAGAAAUAUGUGUUUAUAAUAAACAGCAACAGUGGCAAUAUGCAGCCACAGACAUGCAUCAAGCUCAACGGUACCAAGAUAUCAGCACUCAUAGACUCUGGAGCUGCAGUGAAUAUUAUCAGUGAGUCCGUUUUCAACACAAUGACUCCACGCCCGCAGCUCACCACAGUCAGUGUAAAGAUAUAUCCUUAUGGCUGCACCAACCCACUGCCCAUAGCUGGAGCAUUCAACUGUGAUAUAGAGGCAGGGAACAAAAAGACUAAGGGUGUGUUCUACGUGCUGGAGGGUGAUGGCUGCUCCCUGUUAAGCUACCAAACAGCCGAUGAGCUUGGCCUGAUCAAAAUAGUUAACAGCGUCUCAUCCACAAGCGGCCAAACAGUGGCAGACGAGCUGUUGGACAGUUAUCCAGAGCUCUUCCAGGGAAUAGGCAAACUAAAAGAUUUUCAAGUCAAGCUUCACAUCAACAAAGACGUGCAGCCUACCUGUCAGCCACACAGGCGGGUGCCGUUUCACAUCCGGAAAAAAGUCGAAGACGAACUGCUAAACUCGAGAAUGAUGACAUCAUAG